UGAAGCCUCAAAUCUGUCACACUAACCCC
rnacentral:piRNA from 1 species